rnacentral:lncRNA from 1 species
ACGGGCUCCACAGCCAUGCCCUCCUCCACUCCGGGGACCACCUGGAUCCUCACAGAGCCAACCACUACAGCCAUCACAACAGUGGUCACGGGCUCCACUGCCAUCCCUUCCUCCACCCCAGGGACUACUCAAAUCACCAAAGUGUUUCCCACCACAACUGCAACGACUGAAGCCACUGGCUCCCCGGCUAACCCCUCCUCCACCCCAGGGACCACCGGCUCCACAGCCACCUCCUCCUCCACUCCUGGAACCACCUGGAUCCUCACAGAGCCAACCACCACUGCCACCAUAACUGUGGCCACUGGCUCCAAGGCCACGCCCUCUUCCACUCCAGCAUCAACCUGGAUUCUUACAGAGCCGACCACUACAGCCAUCACAACAGUGGCCACAGGCUCCAUGGCCACGCCUUCCUCCACUCAGGGGACGACUGGGAGCCUCACAGAACCAACCAACACUGCCACCAUAACUGUGACCACCAGCUCCACAGCCAUGCCCUCCUCCACUCCAGGGAUGACCUCGAUCCUCACAGAGCCGACCACUACAGCCAUUACAACAGUGGCCACGGGCUCCACGGCCACAUCCCCCUUCACUCCAAGGACGGCCAGGAUCGUCACAGAGCCAACCACCACUGCCACCAUAACUGUGGCCACUGGCUCCACGGCCAUCCCCUCCUCCACUCCAGGGAUGACCUCGAUCCUCACAGAGCCGACCACUACAGCCAUCACAACAGUGGCCACGGGGUCCACGGCCACGCCCUCCUCCACUCCAGAGACGACCAGGAUCCUCACAGAGUCAACCACCACUGCCACCAUAACUGUGGCCACUGGCUCCACANNNNNNNNNNNNNNNNNNNNNNNNNNNNNNNNNNNNNNNNNNNNNNNNNNNNNNNNNNNNNNNNNNNNNNNNNNNNNNNNNNNNNNNNNNNNNNNNNNNNGCCAUCCCCUCCUCCACUCCAGGGAUGACCUCGAUCCUCACAGAGCCAACCACUACAGCCAUCACAACAGUGGCCACGGGUUCCACGGCCAUGCCUCCUACUCUGGGGACGACUGGGAUCCUCACAGAGCCCACCACUACAGCCAUCACAACAGUGGCCACGGGCUCGAUGGCCACGCCCACCUCCACUCCGGGGACGACCGGGAUCCUCACAGAGCCAACCACUACAACCAUCACAACAGUGGCCACGAGGUCCACUGCCACGCCUUCCUCCACUCUGGGGACAACCGGGAUCCUCACAGAGCCGACCACUACAGCCAUCACAACAGUGGCCACGGGCUCCACGGCCAUGCCCUCCUCCACUCUGGGGCCGACCAGGAUCCAGACAGAACCAGCCACCACUGCCACCAUAACUGUGGCCACCAGCUCCACAGCCAUGCCCUCCUCCACUCCAGCGUCGACCUGGAUCCUCACAGAGCCGACCACUACAGCCAUCACAACAGUGACCACGGGCUCCACGGCCACGCCCUCCUCCACUCAGGGGACGACCGGGAUCCUCACAGAGCCAACCACUACAACCGUCACAACAGUCGCCACGAAGUCCACGGCCACGCCCUCCUCCACUCCAGGGAAGACCUCAAUCCUCACAGAGCUGACCACUACAGCCAUCACAACAAUGGCCACGGGCUCCACGGCCACACCUUCCACUCCGGGGACGACCGGGAUCCUCACAGAGCCAACCACUACAACCAUCACAACAGUGGCCACGAGGUCCACGGCCAUGCCUUCCUCCACUCCGGGGACGACUGGGAUCCUCACAGAGCCGACCACUACAGCCAUCACAACAGUGGCCACGGGCUCCACAGCCAUGCCCUCCUCCACUCUGGGGACGACCAGGAUCCACACAGAACCAACCACCACUGCCACCAUAACUGUGGCCACCAGCUCCACAGCCAUGCCCUCCUCCACUCCAGCGUCGACCUGGAUCCUCACAGAGCCGACCACUACAGCCAUCACAACAGUGGCCACGGGCUCCACGGCCACGCCCUCCUCCACUCCGGGGACGACUGGGAUCCUCACAGAGCCAACCACCACUGCCACCAUAACUGUGGCCACUGGCUCCACGGCCAUCCCCUCCUCCACUCCAGGGAUGACCUCGAUCCUCACAGAGCCAACCACUACAGCCAUCACAACAGUGGCCACGGGUUCCACGGCCAUGCCUCCUACUCUGGGGACGACUGGGAUCCUCACAGAGCCCACCACUACAGCCAUCACAACAGUGGCCACGGGCUCGAUGGCCACGCCCACCUCCACUCCGGGGACGACCGGGAUCCUCACAGAGCCAACCACUACAACCAUCACAACAGUGGCCACGAGGUCCACUGCCACGCCUUCCUCCACUCUGGGGACAACCGGGAUCCUCACAGAGCCGACCACUACAGCCAUCACAACAGUGGCCACGGGCUCCACGGCCAUGCCCUCCUCCACUCUGGGGCCGACCAGGAUCCAGACAGAACCAGCCACCACUGCCACCAUAACUGUGGCCACCAGCUCCACAGCCAUGCCCUCCUCCACUCCAGCGUCGACCUGGAUCCUCACAGAGCCGACCACUACAGCCAUCACAACAGUGACCACGGGCUCCACGGCCACGCCCUCCUCCACUCAGGGGACGACCGGGAUCCUCACAGAGCCAACCACUACAACCGUCACAACAGUCGCCACGAAGUCCACGGCCACGCCCUCCUCCACUCCAGGGAAGACCUCAAUCCUCACAGAGCUGACCACUACAGCCAUCACAACAGUGGCCACGGGCUCCACGGCCACACCUUCCACUCCGGGGACGACUGGGAUCCUCACAGAGCCAACCACUACAACCAUCACAACAGUGGCCACGAGGUCCACGGCCAUGCCUUCCUCCACUCCGGGGACGACUGGGAUCCUCACAGAGCCGACCACUACAGCCAUCACAACAGUGGCCACGAGCUCCACAGCCAUGCCCUCCUCCACUCUGGGGACGACCAGGAUCCACACAGAACCAGCCACCACUGCUACCAUAACUGUGGCCACCAGCUCCACAGCCAUGCCCUCCUCCACUCCAGCGUCGACCUGGAUCCUCACAGAGCCGACCACUACAGCCAUCACAACAGUGGCCACAGGCUCCACAGCCCUGCCCUCCUCCACUCCGGGGACGACUGGAUUCCUCACAGAGCCAACCACCACUGCCACCAUAACUGUGGCCACUGGCUCCAUGGCCAUCCCCUCCUCCACUCCAGGGAUGACCUCGAUCCUCACAGAGCCGACCACUACAGCCAUCACAACAGUGACCACGGGCUCCACGGCCACGCCCUCCUCCACUCCAGGGAAGACCUCAAUCCUCACAGAGCUGACCACUACAGCCAUCACGACAGUGGCCACGGGCUCCACGGCCACAACUUCCACUCCGGGGACAACCAGGAUCCUCACAGAGCCGACCACUACAGCCAUCACAACAGUGGCCACGGGCUCCAGAGCCACACCCUCCUUCACUCCAGGGACGACCGGGAUCCUCACAGAGCCGACCACUACAACCAUUACAACAGUGGCCACCAGCUCCACGGCCACGCCCUCCUCCACUCUGGGGACGACCGGGAUCCUUACAGAGCCGACCACUACAGCUAUCACAACAGUGGCCACAGGCUCCACGGCCAUACCCUCCUCUACUCUGGGAACGACCGGGAUCUACACAGAACCAACCACCACUGCCACCAUAAGUGUGGCCACCAGCUCCACAGCCACGCCCUCCUCCACUCCGGCGUCAACUUGGUUCCUCACAGAGCCGACCACUACAGCCAUCACAACCAUGGCCUCGGGCUCCACAGCCACCCUGACCUCCACCCCGGGAACAACGUACCCUCCCAAAGUGUUGACCAUCACAGCCACCACACCCACAGCCACCAGCUCCAAAGCAACCCCCUCCUCCACUCCGGGGACGACCUGGAUCCUCACAGAGCUGACCACUCUAGCCACCCCGACUGA